rnacentral:rRNA from 1 species
GACGAACGCUGGCGGCGUGCCUAAUACAUGCAAGUUGAGCGCUGAAGGUUGGUACUUGUACCAACUGGAUGAGCAGCGAACGGGUGAGUAACGCGUGGGGAAUCUGCCUUUGAGCGGGGGACAACAUUUGGAAACGAAUGCUAAUGCCGCAUAAAAACUUUAAACACAAGUUUUAAGUUUGAAAGAUGCAAUUGCAUCACUCAAAGAUGAUCCCGCGUUGUAUUAGCUAGUUGGUGAGGUAAAGGCUCACCAAGGCGAUGAUACAUAGCCGACCUGAGAGGGUGAUCGGCCACAUUGGGACUGAGACACGGCCCAAACUCCUACGGGAGGCAGCAGUAGGGAAUCUUCGGCAAUGGACGAAAGUCUGACCGAGCAACGCCGCGUGAGUGAAGAAGGUUUUCGGAUCGUAAAACUCGGUUGGUAGAGAAGAACGUUGGUGAGAGUGGAAAGCUCAUCAAGUGACGGUAACUACCCAGAAAGGGACGGCUAACUACGUG